GACGGAAGGUGCAAGCGUUGCUCGGAAUCACUGGGCGUAAAGGGUGCGUAGGCGGCCGCGCAAGUCUGGCGUGAAAGCCCCGGGCUCAGCCCGGGAAGGGCGCUCGAAACGGCGCGGCUCGAGUGCCGGAGGGGAGAGUGGAGUUCCUGGUGUAGCGGUGAAAUGCGUAGAUAUCAGGAGGAAUACCAAUGGCGAAGGCAGCACUCUGGGACGGUACUGACGCUGAGACGCGAAAGCGUGGGGAGCAAACAGG
rnacentral:rRNA from 1 species